UCACAACUUUGUGUGUUUAUACAUGAAGGGGGAAAUAAGAAAAUGAAGAAGAAAAUGCAACAUUUAAAAUAAUUUCACAGUCCAUCAUUAAAAAUUUAUGUAUCAUUCAGGAUGGAGAAGGUUCUACCAGGAUAUGUUUAUAUCUACUAAGCAAAUGUAUGCUGUGUAAAGACUACACUACACUAAGGACAUCCGGAUGCUGUAAAAAUAAGAGAAGAACCAGAUGGAUAUUAAGCCCCCAACACACACUUUAUCCUUCCUUCCUUCAUCUUUUUUCAUCUGUGGGGAAAAAAAUAAGGUCUUGCCUUUGGUGUUUAUAUUUCCAUAACCUUUUAAUUCUGUUUUUCAUUUGAGCUGACUUGUAGCCACUUCAGACUAUCAAUGGAAUCUUAUGUUGAGCCUUUCUCUGGCUUUCCUUCCUCCACUAUCUCUCCAACUUUAGAGAUAUCCCCUCUCCCUCCAGUGUGUUCUAUCUCCCCCACACCCACCCUAGAUACUCCCUUUUUACCCACCUUUCCUCCCUCACCUCUCCUCACCCCCACUCCCUCCCCAGAGCACUAGUCAUGCCGCAAAUGCUAGGAAGUGUCAUUUUAAUUUUCUCCACUGUGCGUGUGUGCUCAAGUCUUUCGCUCUCAUGUGGGUGUACAUGUGUGUGAGCGUGUGUGUGUGUCUCUCUCUAAAGCAUGCCAAGGGAAUGGUCCAUGUGUACAUAGACUCAUUGUGCUGUAGAUACUGUCCUGCAUUGUAAUUGUGAGAUGCGGCUGUAACAAGUUGCUGGGGGAGAUGGCGGGGAAAGAGGCAAGGAGCAGAGUCCUCCUCUCAUCCAUGGCUGUCACAUGGCAUCAGUGUGUAUUCAAACCAAGCUGUGCCCCUUCCAAGGGCAGGACCCCAUAUUCCUCCUAGUCCCAUCAUCAGAACCGAGUGGGGAGUCACUCAGAAUAUCACUGUAAAUGAAAGUGCCUACUAUCGAUGGGAAGUACCUCUUUUUGGGCAGUGCUCCUGGAUCUACUUCUACAGCCACAUUCUUCUCUGCACAAGCCCUCCUUGUGUAAAGCCAGGCACAGUACAAAUAUGCUUCCUGCAAGUGAAGAAAACCCAUGGAAGUCCUAGCUUCAUGGCACGCUGCAGCAAUCCCAAGCUACCAGGAGCCUCUUUUGAACCCACUUCCCUAGGUAUUUGCUCUUCACCAGAGAAUGGAAAUUGUUCAUCCUGGUGA
rnacentral:lncRNA from 1 species